rnacentral:rRNA from 1 species
UAGGAGAAUCCGAUGACGAUGGGUAGCUUGACAAUAUCUUGCGCCACACACUCACACAGUGUGCUGUGCUGCUUGCAAACUGUACAGCUGCUAUCGGGCAAAAGGGAAUCCGGUUCCUAUUCCGGAACCUGGCUGCGUAACCGCAUCUUUGCGGGCACUUGCUUGCGAGCGCUCGUCGGGGUAACCCAAACUGGCCUGGAGACGCCGGCGGGGGGUCUGGAAAGAGUUUUCUUUUCUUUAUAAGCGUUCGAGUACCCUGGAAUCCUAUAGCAGGGAGAUAGGGUUUGGAACGCGAAGAGCACCGCAGUUGCGGCGGUGUCCGGACCUUCCCCCCGGACCUUGAAAAUCCAGGUGAGGGCCACGCGGAAGUCGCGCCAGAUCGUACCCAUAUCCGCAGCAGGUCUCCAAGGUUAAGAGCCUCUAGUCGAUAGAAUAAUGUAGGUAAGGGAAGUCGGCAAAUUGGAUCCGUAACUUCGGGACAAGGAUUGGCUCUGAGGAUCGGGGUGUGUCGGGCUAGGUCGGGAUGUGGGUCAGCGCCAACGAGCCUGGCCUGAGCACGAGGAAUGGAGAGCAUUUCGGUGCGAUCCAGGAUCCGAGCUCGGUCCUGCGCCUUGGCCUCCCACGGAUCGGCCUUGCUGCGGGGGUCUGUUGACAGUUGCACACGGACUUGUCUGUGUGUUAACCAGCAGAAUUCACCUUCGGCCACCAUUUAACGGUCAACUCAGAACUGGCACGGACCGGGAGAAUCCGACUGUCUAAUUAAAGCAAAGCAUUGCGAUGGCUCUAGCUGAGUGUUUACGCAAUGUGAUUUCUGCCCAGUGCUCUGAAUGUCAACGUGAAGAAAUUCAAGCAAGCGCGGGUAAACGGCGGGAGUAACUAUGACUCUCUUAAGGUAGCCAAAUGCCUCGUCAUCUAAUUAGUGACGCGCAUGAAUGGAUUAACGAGAUUCUCACUGUCCCUAUCUACUAUCUAGCGAAACCACUGCCAAGGGAACGGGCUUGGAAAAAUCAGCGGGGAAAGAAGACCCUGUUGAGCUUGACUCUAGUCUGGCACUGUAAGGAGACAUGAGAGGUGUAGAAUAAGUGGGAGACGGUGGGCUUCGGCUUUGCCGUUCGACUGUGAAAUACCACUACUUUCAUCGUUUCCUUACUUACUCGGAUGGGCGGAGAGCGUGCCUGUCGUUGUUUCACUCCGGCAGGCCGGUGUUCUUGCGCCAAGCGUCUGAGGGUUGUCAGCAUGUGACGUGCCUGGUCCAGUGCCGGCGGUAGAUGUCACCUCGACCUUGACCGUUGCCCGGUACGGGCCAGAACACGCUCGCCUCUGACUGGCAAUCACUCCCUCGCGUGUUCCGAUUCGAGGACACAGCCAGGCG